rnacentral:lncRNA from 1 species
GCAAAUGAAUGAUCCCGAGGCACAGAUGAAGUCCUCGUUAUCGGAUUGCACAUGGUUGGAAAAUGAGUAUAGAUCAAUCCUUAAUAUUGAGAGCACUGGGAACUUUAAUGAGGCUCAAAGAAGUGAGGAGCAUUUUAUUCUUCUUCUUCUUCUUUUUCAUUCCUUUUUCUUUUCUUUCUUCUUUCUUUCUUUCUUUUUCCUCAUUUUUUUAUUUUUGCUCCUCAGAACUUCUUGCAACAUAGUACUUUACUCAGCAUAAGUCAAAGAUAUUGCGAUGAUUCUCCCCCAUGCUUAGAUGAUGCUCAUCCUCAAGCAUGAAAGAGUAAGAAAGAUAAACUGCUGAUUUAAGUACCAAAAGUUUUGAUCUUCCGCAAAAAAUUAUUUUAUUCCUCUAAGGGGACUUUCAUGCCAAAUUUCAGAGGGAAUAGAGGGGGAAACACCUCAGGCCGAUCGGCCUGGCCCCUUCUGGCCUCUAUUUUUUUCACUUUUAUUCUCCGUACUUGUGGAUACCUCCGGGUCUUGAUUUUCUUGAAAAGGCACCGAUUAAUCUUCUGAAUCUUUAUCGAAAUAUUUUUCCAUACUCAAUAAUAGGUUGUGGUCAAGGAGGUAGUCACAAAAAUAAUAUAUUUGGGUUUAGGAUGGAUCCUAGCGAGGUUUGUGAGAUUCCCAAUGUAGAAAUUCACAAUGCUUGGACAGAAAGGUUAGCAAUAAAAGUUUUAUGCAAAGGAGAUGGCCAGCUUCUAAGUCUCAUACCAUAAAAAUCAAUCUUAAUCCAACUCAUCAAAAUAUAAGUUUGCAAUCUAAAGGUUUCAUCAUGAAAGAUCAUGCAUGUAUGUAGAUAGCAUAUGAAUCAAUUUUAAAUAAAAAUAAAUUAAGUUAUGAGGUCAUCAGAAAACUUAAAUCAAAGAGCAACAUAGAGUUUGUGGGUCUAGAAUUUAGUUAUUUAACCUCCACAAUUAAAAGAGCUGGUAUCUAAUCCAUUUAAGUUCAUUAAACAGAGAGUAAUUAGUCAAGUCAUAUACAACAUUGUGUAGGUACAACAAAGCGACAACCUUCAUCAUUUUUCCAUAAGCAAG